rnacentral:rRNA from 1 species
AGCGAACGCUGGCGGCAGGCCUAAUACAUGCAAGUCGAACGGUCUCUUCGGAGGCAGUGGCGGACGGGUGAGUAACGCGUGGGAAUAUGCCCUUUGGUACGGAACAACUGAGGGAAACUUCAGCUAAUACCGUAUGUGCCCUUCGGGGGAAAGAUUUAUCGCCAUUGGAGUAGCCCGCGUUGGAUUAGGUAGUUGGUGGGGUAAAGGCCUACCAAGCCUACGAUCCAUAGCUGGUCUGAGAGGAUGAUCAGCCACACUGGGACUGAGACACGGCCCAGACUCCUACGGGAGGCAGCAGUAGGGAAUCUUGCGCAAUGGGCGAAAGCCUGACGCAGCCAUGCCGCGUGAAUGAUGAAGGUCUUAGGAUUGUAAAAUUCUUUCACCGGGGAAGAUAAUGACGGUACCCGGAGAAGAAGCCCCGGCUAACUUCGUGCCAGCAGCCGACGGUAAAAGUGUGUGUA